rnacentral:rRNA from 1 species
AGCGAACGCUGGCGGCAGGCUUAACACAUGCAAGUCGAGCGGGCACUUCGGUGUCAGCGGCAGACGGGUGAGUAACACGUGGGAACGUACCCUUCGGUUCGGAAUAACGCUGGGAAACUAGCGCUAAUACCGGAUACGCCCUUUUGGGGAAAGGUUUACUGCCGAAGGAUCGGCCCGCGUCUGAUUAGCUAGUUGGUGGGGUAAUGGCCUACCAAGGCGACGAUCAGUAGCUGGUCUGAGAGGAUGAUCAGCCACACUGGGACUGAGACACAGCCCAGACUCCUACGGGAGGCAGCAGUGGGGAAUAUUGGACAAUGGGCGCAAGCCUGAUCCAGCCAUGCCGCGUGAGUGAUGAAGGCCUUAGGGUUGUAAAGCUCUUUUGUCCGGGACGAUAAUGACGGUACCGGAAGAAUAAGCCCCGGCUAACUUCGUG